UACGGGGGGGGUAAGCGUUGUUCGGAAUUACUGGGCGUAAAGGGCUCGUAGGCGGCCAACUAAGUCGGACGUGAAAUCCCCAGGCUCAACCUGGGAACUGCGUCCGAUACUGGAUGGCUUGAAUCCGGGAGAGGGAUGCAGAAUUCCAGGUGUAGCGGUGAAAUGCGUAGAUAUCUGGAGGAACACCGGUGGCGAAGGCGGAUCUCUGGGCCUUACCUGACGCUGAGGCGCGAAAGCUAGGGGAGCGAACAGG
rnacentral:rRNA from 1 species